rnacentral:snRNA from 1 species
AUGCUUGCUUCAGCAGCACAUAUACUGAAACUGGAAUGAUACAGAGAAGAUUAGGAUGGCCCCUGCCCAAGGAAGACAUACAAUUUCAUGAAAUAGUCCAUAUAUUU